UACGUAGGGACCGAGCGUUGUCCGGAAUCAUUGGGCGUAAAGAGCGUGUAGGCGGCCACUUAAGUCCUGCGUGAAAUCUUGCGGCUCAACCGCAAGCGGUCGUGGGAAACUGGGUGGCUAGAGUGCGGGAGAGGAGAGUGGAAUUCCUGGUGUAGCGGUGGAAUGCGCAGAUAUCAGGAAGAACACCCGUGGCGAAGGCGGCUCUCUGGAACGCAACUGACGCUGAGACGCGAAAGCGUGGGGGAGCAAAACAGG
rnacentral:rRNA from 1 species